ACUGAAGGAAUCAGCGUGUGCACACCCUUGGCCGAAAUGUCCGGGUAACCCGCUGAACCUCCUUCGUGCUAGGAAUUGGGGCUUGCAAUUGUUCCCCAUGAAC
rnacentral:misc_RNA from 13 species